rnacentral:rRNA from 1 species
UACAGAGGUCCCAAGCGUUGUUCGGAUUCACUGGGCGUAAAGGGUGCGUAGGUGGCUUGGUAAGUUUGAUGUGAAAUCUCCGGGCUUAACCCGGAAAUGGCGUUGAAUACUAUUGAGCUGGAGGUUUGGAGGGGGGACUGGAAUUCUCGGUGUAGCAGUGAAAUGCGUAGAUAUCGAGAGGAACACCAGUGGCGAAGGCGAGUCCCUGGACAACACCUGACACUGAGGCACGAAAGCUAGGGGAGCAAACGGG